CUCGAGUCCCCGACGUCAGUCUCUGACCCCGUGUCUCCAAGCCGCCUCCCAGUCCGAUCGAUCGAUCGCUACAAGACCGUGAUCGACUCUCUUCGUAGCUCCAAAGGGAAGCUGAUUAUAAUCUCGAACAAUUGCCCUCCUCUAAGAAAGUCGGAGAUCGAGUACUGCGCCAUGCUUGCUAAGGUUGGAGUUCAUCACUACAAUGGAAG